rnacentral:rRNA from 1 species
UACGGAGGGUGCGAGCGUUGUCCGGAAUCACUGGGCGUAAAGGGUGCGUAGGUGGUCGGGUAAGUCCGAUGUGAAAUCUCCAGGCUCAACCUGGAAAUGGCAUUGGAUACUAUCUGGCUUGAGGAGUGGAGGGGGGACUGGAAUUCUCGGUGUAGCAGUGAAAUGCGUAGAUAUCGAGAGGAACACCAGUGGCGAAGGCGAGUCCCUGGACACUUCCUGACACUGAGGCACGAAAGCUAGGGGAGCAAACAGG